rnacentral:rRNA from 1 species
GGCCGCGUGAAUUAGAUUCAGGCUUAACACAUCCAAGUCGUCCGAGAGUUUUUAACUAUAGUGGCGGAGGGGUGAGUAGCACGUGAGGAUUUGCCUCUAGGAGGGGGACAACAAUUGGAAAAAAAUGGUAAUACCCCAUAUGCUUUGGAGUGAAAUGAAUUUUAUCCGCCUAGAGAGAAGCUCGCGGCUGAUUAGCUUGUUGGUAAGGUAAGAGCUUACCAAGGCGACGAUCAGUAUCUGGUUUGAGAGGACGAUCAGACACACUGGAACUGAGACACGGUCCAGACUCCUACGGGAGGCAGCAGUGGGGAAUUUUCCGCAAUGAGGGAAAGCCUGACGGAGCAAUACCGCGUGAGGGAAGAAAGGCUAUGGGUUGUAAACCUCUUUUUUCAGGGAGGAAUAAAAUGACGUGUACCGAAGA